rnacentral:rRNA from 1 species
UACGAAGGGUGCAAGCGUUACUCGGAAUUACUGGGCGUAAAGCGUGCGUAGGUGGUUUGUUAAGUCUGAUGUGAAAGCCCUGGGCUCAACCUGGGAACGGCAUUGGAAACUGGCUUACUAGAGUACGGAAGAGGCGAGUGGAAUUCCUGGUGUAGCGGUGAAAUGCGUAGAUAUCAGGAGGAAUACCUAUGGCGAAAGCAGGUAUCUGGGCCAUCACUAACGCUGAGCUGCGAAAGCUAGGGGAGCAAACAGG